GUGCAUAUGGUCUAGUUGGAUAAGACGUUGGCCUACGGAACCAAAGAUUGCGAGUUCAAAUCUCGUUAUGCAUA
rnacentral:tRNA from 1 species